ensembl:lincRNA
UUGGAAACAGGGAGGGUAGAGAAUUCCAGACCUGGCCCCUUAUUAACCUUCCUGGUGUGCCCUGCAACAGCCAAUUCGUUUUCCUUUUCUAGGCCCCCUCAUUAUAUAUGAUACAAGUGGAUAAGAAUAGAAUCUCUAGAAGUCUCCCAGGAAUACUUGGAGAGUGUUUCCCAGAAACACUUCUGUGAAAUCUCAAGAAGGUCAGAAAGUCACCAAGAAGGGAGCUGGGCCACGUUUUCAGCUCCUCCCAUCAAGAGGUGGGGUCUUGUCGAUUUGAUCUGGCCAAUAGGAUGAAACCACAGUGACAUGAGAGCAGGCAUGGGCUGCUGAAGGGCGACAGUUCACGUGGAGGAGAACCCAGGUCCCCCAGCAUAGUCCCGCUGAUCAUCAUACAUGUUAAAGACUCAAGUCAAGACUAGCAGAGUCAUUGACCCAACGUGCAGCUGACCACUGAUGAGGAAGUAAAGCCUUCUGAGUCCAGGAGAGUCAUCUAGGUGACCUAUAGUAGCAAUAAAUGCUGAUUGUUUUAAGUUACUGAAUUUUAGGAUACUUCACUGCACAGUAAU